rnacentral:rRNA from 1 species
AGGAAUUUUCCGCAAUGGGCGCAAGCCUGACGGAGCAAUGCCGCGUGGGUGAAGAAGGUUUUCGGAUUGUAAAGCCCUUUCGGCGGGGACGAUGAUGACGGUACCCGCAGAAGAAGCUCCGGCUAACUUCGUGCCAGCAGCCGCGGUAAUACGAAGGGGGCUAGCGUUGCUCGGAAUGACUGGGCGUAAAGGGCGCGUAGGCGGUUUGCACAGUCAGAUGUGAAAUUCCUGGGCUUAACCUGGGGGCUGCAUUUGAUACGUGUAGGCUUGAGUGGGGAAGAGGGUCGUGGAAUUCCCAGUGUAGAGGUGAAAUUCGUAGAUAUUGGGAAGAACACCGGUGGCGAAGGCGGCGACCUGGUCCUUGACUGACGCUGAGGCGCGAAAGCGUGGGGAGCAAA